CUAUGUUUUAGUAGAAUCAAAAUGCAAUUUGGAGAAUCAUUGAACCCGAAAAUUAUUUCAUAGGAAUUUCAAAAAGAAAAUUCUUUUUUCAGAAAUUUUGUUGUCUAACCAGGGAAAUCUAUGGAGAUAAAAUGGAGGAGUUUUCACAAUGGUCUUGUUACCGUUCAGGGUAGUGCAAUUCUGAGGGUGACUUCAGAGAGCUAGACAAAAAAACUGGGUUGACUAUAGAUGAACAACUUUAAAUUUGAGUCUCUUGCAUCUAUUGUAUUCUUGAGUCUUAAAAGAAACCUAUGGGAGGGCAGCUGAAAGGAGGUGAAAGGGACAUGAUUGUGAAGGACAAAAUUUUGACAUCAGGGUUAAGAUAUAUUGUCACCAAAGUUGCUAUAGUUUAGCUCAAACAUAAAUCUGGAGGUUCACACUGAGGAUUAGAAUUAGACCAUUUAGUUGCAAAUUCACAAACAUAAAUGUAUCAUUCAAAUUUUUUGUACAUUCUCUUUGUGUUGCAUAGAGCUGGCUAGAUAUUCUAAGGUUUUGUCUAAGAAACACAGUUAUUUUAUUUUCAAGGCAACACAAAGUUGUUUAAUACAAAAACACAAAAUGGAUUGCAAAAUGGUCACAUGUUCUCAAGCAUUAUUUAGACUUAAAACUCACUACUAAACCAAAGGGUGUUUUGAGACCCAAAAUUCUGAAUGAUAAAAUUAUUCUUUAAAGGGUGCUAGUUCAAAUGCAAGAGCAUCUCCUUUACAAGCAGGAGGAUGGUGGUUCACUACUAAACCAAAGCGUGUUUUGAUACCCAAAAUUUUGAAUGAUAAAAUUUUUCU